AACGAACGCUGGCGGCAUGCCUAACACAUGCAAGUCGAACGAGACCUUCGGGUCUAGUGGCGCACGGGUGCGUAAUGCGUGGGAACCUGCCCUUAGGUUCGGAAUAACUCAGAGAAAUUUGAGCUAAUACCGGAUAAUGUCUUCGGACCAAAGAUUUAUCGCCUUUGGAUGGGCCCGCGUAGGAUUAGCUUGUUGGUGGGGUAAUGGCCUACCAAGGCGACGAUCCUUAGCUGGUCUGAGAGGAUGAUCAGCCACACUGGGACUGAGACACGGCCCAGACUCCUACGGGAGGCAGCAGUGGGGAAUAUUGGACAAUGGGCGAAAGCCUGAUCCAGCAAUGCCGCGUGAGUGAUGAAGGCCUUAGGGUUGUAAAGCUCUUUUACCAGGGAUGAUAAUGACAGUACCUGGAGAAUAAGCUCCGGCUAACUCCGUG
rnacentral:rRNA from 1 species